rnacentral:tRNA from 1 species
GCCCGAGUGACGAAAUCGGUAGACGUAGCGCACUCAAAAUGCGCCGCCGCAAGGCGUGCCAGUUCGAGUCUGGCCUCGGGCACCA